UACGAAGGGGGCUAGCGUUGUUCGGAAUUACUGGGCGUAAAGGGCGCGUAGGCGGCCCGCUAAGUCGAACGUGAAAUCCCCGGGCUCAACCCGGGAACUGCGUCCGAUACUGGUGGGCUUGAAUCCGGGAGAGGGAUGCGGAAUUCCAGGUGUAGCGGUGAAAUGCGUAGAUAUCUGGAGGAACACCGGUGGCGAAGGCGGCAUCCUGGACCGGCAUUGACGCUGAGGCGCGAAAGCCAGGGGAGCAAACGGG
rnacentral:rRNA from 1 species